AAAAAAAAAAAAAAAAAAACUGUUUGCAUGCUCACAAAUUGAUUUAUCUCCCUUUUCACACCUCAGUUUUUCAGUAUUUAUGUUCAUUAUAUAAACUAAAUUGUGAGAACAACUGGGGUCUUUUGUGCUGCAUAGGUGGAAACAUCAGUUCUUAACCUGCCUGUGGAAAAGAUGGAUUAUUAUGUUCCUGGCUAGUGUAUGAAUCUUUUUUGUCUUAGAUGAAGUGCCUGAAUCUUCAAUUUGUACAUAUGUAUGUAUUAAUACCUGACUACAUGUGUGAUAUAUGGUGCAUUCCAUUUUAUUUUUGGUUUUUAGUGUUCUGCCUUCAUAUUUAUGAAUUGGAUGUGUACGUGGAGAACCUACUCAUGUAAAUUCUGUUUCAAUCAUGCAUUCACUGGCUGUGGCUGAACAAUCGGAUUUUUAUAAUAUUUUGUUAGAAACUGUUCAAAACACAAUUAUUU
rnacentral:misc_RNA from 1 species